rnacentral:rRNA from 1 species
CAGCCGCCACGGUAAUACGAAGGGGGCUAGCGUUGCUCGGAAUGACUGGGCGUAUAGGGCGCGUAGGCGGAUUGCGCAGUCAGAUGUGAAAUUCCUGGGCUUAACCUGGGGGCUGCAUUUGAGACACGUAGUCUAGAGUGUGAAAGAGGGUCGUGGAAUUCCCAGUGUAGAGGUGAAAUUCGUAGAUAUUGGGAAGAACACCGGUGGCGAAGGCGGCGACCUGGUUCAUAACUGACGCUGAGGCGCGAAAGCGUGGGGAGCAAACAGGAUUAGAUACCCCCGUAGUCCCUGUCUCUUAUAC